rnacentral:rRNA from 1 species
CCAAUAGCGUAUAUUAAAGUUGUUGCAGUUAAAAAGCUCGUAGUUGAAUUUCGGGGUUCUACCGUUGGUCGGGCAAUUGUCUGUACUGGCGUGUGGAAUUUCUACCUUCUGGGGAGCCAUCAUGUUAUUAAUUUAGCGUGGUGGGAAACCAGGACCUUUACCUUGAAAAAAUUAGAGUGUUCAAAGCAGGCUUACGUCUGAAUACAUUAGCAUGGAAUAAUAAACUAGGACGGUGGUCCUGUUUUGUUGGUUUCUGAAUCACCGUAAUGAUUAAUAGGGAUAGUUGGGGGGAUUAGUAUUCAAGUGUCAGAGGUGAAAUUCUUGGAUUUAUUGAAGACUAACUUCUGCGAAAGCAUUUGCCAAGGAUGUUUUCAUUAAUCAAGAACGAAAGUUAGGGGAUCGAAGACGAUCAGAUACCGUCGUAGUCUUAACCAUAAACUAUGCCGACUAGGGAUCGGACGAUGUUAAUUUUUCUUGACUCGUUCGGCGCCUUACG